UGGGACGAUGGUCAUAGGUAACAGAUUUUGGGUUGAUCGGUCUCUCCGCCUCGCCUAGAACACCGACUGGCUAGUGAAGAUGGACCUCGCUGCUUAUUGUCCGAGUUCUUGGUCGAAGAAGACGGAGUUUGAUGCUCGUAUUACAUCUCGGUGCUCAUGGUGUCAACCUUCGUGUUUGGUUGCGUUUGAAGCUCGAUCGUUAGAUAUCGCCGUUCAUGAAGAAUUUGAUUUCCUUUUCAUUUUUCUGUUAAAUUUUAGUUUGUAAUUUUCUGAGUUGAUUUAUUUAUGGAUAAACUCAGUGUAUUCUUGUUUGUUAGAUUUCUGGGUUUGUUACACUCAUUGGUGUGUUUUUUUUUGUUGUUUUGGGUUAAAAGUUUGUAAAUUUCUAGGUUUGUGGGUGUAUUAUUAAUCUGUAUAUUGGAUUCAAAUUAUUAAAAUUUGUAUUCAAGUUUUUUCA